rnacentral:lncRNA from 1 species
CUUUUUUUUCUUUCUUGUAUUUCAGAUCAAAUGGGGAGCUUGUGGCCUUGUGCUGGCAGGCAAUGCUGUCAUUUUUCUUACAAUUCAAGGUUUUUUCCUGGUAUUUGGAAGAGGAGAUGAUUUUAGCUGGGAGCAAUGGUAGCACUUUAUUUUGAUAGAGAACAUUGUAUUCCUUAAGAUUUGUACUGUAUGUAUAUGUGUGUGCAUGUGGUGUUUUACUAUGGGAUUUAAUAUGCUGUUUUUUUUAUACCUUUAUAUCAUGAUCACUUUAAGGAAGACUUCCUAAGUAAAAGAUGAGUUUAAUUCCUAGAUAAUGGACCUCAGCUUUUACUGAAGUUGAAAUAUGUUAUUUGUUUGGCUGUUCACAUAGUUAUGUUCUCAGAAAACAUAUUAACACAGUCUUUUAGACAGCUGCUCAUUUAUACAGGCCAUCUAAACCUUUUGUGUGGAGGUGUGCUUAGAUAGGUGAAGACACUGAAGCAGGUCUUUUAUAGCUCAGAAACACUUGGCUCCCACUGUGUUGUAGACCCUUGCUUCUUAGAAUGUGGUCCAUAGACCAAGAACACCAGCAUCUCCUAGCUUAUUGGAAAUAUAAAAUCUGAAGCUCUCCUGCCCACCACCCAGACCCAGUGCAUUUUGAUGAGAUCCCAAGUGAAUCAUAUUCACAUUAGAGUUUGAGGAACUUUGUUAUAAACAUCACACCUAGCUUCCUUGUCUUCCCCUUGGAUCGAUCACUUACCCUCUCUGGGAGUCCUGCUCAUUUGUGGGAAAAAAAUUCCCUUAUGUUGAGGAGGAGUUCAGACUCUCUUUGGUGUUUGUGAACUGUUCCAAACUGUAAUAUAUGGGCAAUUUCCCAAAUUUGUGGAAAGUGUUUUCAGUGGGAAGCAAAGUCCUCACAUCAUCUGAAAGGCAGUGCCUUUUUCACAGUGCUAGGGCACAAAAUAACCCAAGCCCCAUUGGUAUGCAGGAGAGGAAGGCUGGGCUGGAACCAGCCCCUGCUUUAGUUAUGAGGAGAGAAGAAUAGAUAGGCAUCGCUUUUAAGUUUCCCUUAUUAGUCUUGCACUUCUUCCCAGCCCCUUCCUAAUGCUACCUUAUCCCAACUCCUCAGCAGUUCUGAUUUGCCAUUUCUUCUUGAUGGCUCUGCCCUUCUCCUUUCUAAAGAAAUAUUGGAGCCAAGUGAGCAAGCCAAAAGCAAACUGCUGGAGUUUAUUUACAUGUUGAUGUACUUAAUGGUACUUCAUUCAGAACUUUACUCCACCUUUAAAUAAAUCAUUGGAAAUAAAUGUCAUAUUGUAUCUUAUGAUCAUAGUUUUUCUAACUCAUCUUUUUGUCCAAGACCCAUUGAGAAAAGAAAAUAUAAGAAAUAGAACCAUUUGAUAAGAAGAAAGCCAGUGGUUUUUAAACAUUAAUGUGGUUGUUGAUAUAUGUACAAAGCACUUCCAUCUUGAGGUUUGUGAUGUUAGUAACCAGCACACCCUUUGUGUGUUGGUGUGAUAUUGGAACCAGAAGAGAAAAGUGAUAUCUAAAAGAAUAAUGUGCAAUGUUGGUUUUUGGCCUUGUAUGUGAUUUUAUGUUUUUUAAUAUUCUGUGUACAUAUAGAAUUGUUGAAGUUAUUUGCAAUAUUUA